UACAGGGGGCUCGAGCGUUAGUCGGAAUCACUGGGCUUAAAGGGUGCGUAGGCGGCUCGUCAAGUGUUUUGUGAAAUCCCACAGCUCAACUGUGGAACAGCAGGGCAAACUGACGAGCUUGAGGCAGGUAGGGGCCGGAAGAACAGUAGGUGGAGCGGUGAAAUGCGUAGAUAUCUACUGGAAUGCCGAUGGGGAAGCCGUCCGGCGUGGACCGGUUCUGACGCUGAGGCGCGAAAGCGUGGGGAGCAAACGGG
rnacentral:rRNA from 1 species